AGGGAAUCUUCCACAAUGGACGGAAGUCUGAUGGAGCAACGCCGCGUGAGUGAUGAAGGUUUUCGGAUCGUAAAACUCUGUUGUAAGGGAAGAACCAGUACGUCAGGCAAUGGACGUACCUUGACGGUACCUUAUUAGAAAGCCACGGCUAACUACGUGCCAGCAGCCGCGGUAAUACGUAGGUGGCAAGCGUUGUCCGGAAUUAUUGGGCGUAAAGCGCGCGCAGGUGGUUUCUUAAGUCUGAUGUGAAAGCCCACGGCUUAACCGUGGAGAGUCAUUGGAAACUGGGAGACUUGAGUGCAGAAGAGGAAAGUGGAAUUCCAAGUGUAGCGGUGAAAUGCGUAGAGAUUUGGAGGAACACCAGUGGCGAAGGCAGGCAUCUGGCCAUGUACUGACGCUGAGACGCGAAGGUGCGGGGAGCAAACA
rnacentral:rRNA from 1 species